rnacentral:rRNA from 1 species
UGCGUAGGCGGAAUUAUAAGUCAGACGUGAAAGCCUUGGGCUCAACCCAAGAAGUGCGUUUGAUACUGUAGUUCUAGAGUACAGGAGAGGAAGGUGGAAUUCCCGGUGUAGAGGUGAAAUCCGUAGAUAUCGGGAGGAAUACCAGAGGCGAAGGCGGCCUUCUGGACUGACACUGACGCUGAGGCACGAAAGCGUGGGGAGCAAACA